rnacentral:RNase_P_RNA from 1 species
AGAUAGCCAGACGGUUGCGGUGGGGUAACCCAACGAGGAAAGUCCGAGCACCACAGGGCAGAGCGCCGGAGAAAUCCCGGUGAAGGUGACUUUAAGGAAAGUGCAACAGAAAUAAACCGCCUGCCGUUUACGGCAGGUAAGGGUGGAAAUGCGGAGUAAGAGCCCACAAACGCUAUGGUAACACAGCGUUCAUGUAAACCCCGCUCGGUGCAAGAAGUGAGAUCAAACGUUUGCCCGACGUCUCGAUAUGUCGCUGGAGCCUUGCGGAGACGUAAGGCGUAGAUAGAUAACCGUCAAAUACAGAACUCGGCUUACAGACUAUCUCA